CCGAAGCUGCGGCAAUGUUCUAUGAACAUUGGGUAGGGGAGCGUUCUGUAAGCCGUUGAAGGUGUGUUGUAAAGCAUGCUGGAGGUAUCAGAAGUGCGAAUGCUGACAUGAGUAACGACAAGGGGGGUGAAAAACCUCCCCGCCGGAAGACCAAGGGUUCCUGUCCAACGUUAAUCGGGGCAGGGUAAGUCGACCCCUAAGGCGAGGCUGAAAAGCGUAGUCGAUGGGAAACGGGUUAAUAUUCCCGUACUUCUUACAAUUGCGAUGGGGGGACGGAGAAGGCUAGGUGGGCCUGGCGACGGUUGUCCAGGUUCAAGUGCGUAGGCUGAGUGUUUAGGUAAAUCCGGAYACUCUUAAGGCUGAGACACGACGAUGCGAGCGUACUACGGGUAGUGAAGUCAUUGAUGCCAUGCUUCCAGGAAAAGCCUCUAAGCUUCAGAUUGUAAGGAAUCGUACCCCAAACCGACACAGGUGGUCGGGUAGAGAAUACCAAGGCGCUUGAGAGAACUCGGGUGAAGGAACUAGGCAAAAUGGUACCGUAACUUCGGGAGAAGGUACGCUCUUGAUGGUGAAGUCCCUUGCGGAUGGAGCUGACGAGAGUCGCAGAUACCAGGUGGCUGCAACUGUUUAUUAAAAACACAGCACUGUGCAAAAUCGUAAGAUGACGUAUACGGUGUGACGCCUGCCCGGUGUCCGGAAGGUUAAUUGAUGGGGUUAGCGUAAGCGAAGCUCUUGAUCGAAGCCCCGGUAAACGGCGGCCGUAACUAUAACGGUCCUAAGGUAGCGAAAUUCCUUGUCGGGUAAGUUCCGACCUGCACGAAUGGCGUAAUGAUGGCCACGCUGUCUCCACCCGAGACUCAGUGAAAUUGAAAUCGCUGUGAAGAUGCAG
rnacentral:rRNA from 1 species